rnacentral:rRNA from 1 species
AUUGAACGCUGGCGGCAGGCCUAACACAUGCAAGUCGAGCGGCGCGGCGGACGGGUGAGUAAUGCCUAGGAAUCUGCCUGGUAGUGGGGGAUAACGUCCGGAAACGGGCGCUAAUACCGCCUACUAUCAGAUCAGCCUCGGGCGUAUUAGCUAGUUGGUGGGGUAAAGGCCUACCAAGGCGACGAUCCGUAACUGGUCUGAGAGGAUGAUCAGUCACACUGGAACGGAGACACGGUCCAGACUCCUACGGGAGGCAGCAGUGGGGAAUAUUGGACAAUGGGCGAAAUCCUGACCCAGCCAUGCCGCGUGUGUGAAGAAGGUCUUCGGAUUGUAAAGCACUUUAAGUAGGGAGGCGUUACCAACAGAAUAAGCGCCGGCUAACUUCGUGCCAGCAGCCGCGGUAAUUC